rnacentral:rRNA from 1 species
CAGUAGCCGCGGGAAUACGAAGGGUGCAAGCGUUACUCGGAAUUACUAGGCGUAAAGCGUGCGUAGGUGGUGGUUUAAGUCCGUUGUGAAAGCCCUGGGCUCAACCUGGGAAUUGCAGUGGAUACUGGGUCACUAGAGUGUGGUAGAGGAUAGUGGAAUUUCCGGUGUAGCAGUGAAAUGCGUAGAGAUCGGAAGGAACAUCUGUGGCGAAGGCGACUAUCUGGGCCAACACUGACACUGAGGCACGAAAGCGUGGGGAGCAAACAGGAUUAGAUACCCGCGUAGUCCCUGUCUCUUAUAU